UAGAUUUGUUCUAAAUCAAACCUCUUCCAGUUUGACCAAGUUUAUAGAAAAAUAUAGCAAUGUUAUCAACACAAAAUAAAUAUACUAUGAAAAUAUAUUCAAUGGUGGAUUUAAUGAAUUCAAUUUGGUGUUGUAGAUGUUAGUACAUUUUUCUAUAAACUUAGUCAAACUUGAAGUGGUUUGACUUAGAAUAAACCCAA
rnacentral:pre_miRNA from 1 species